CCUACGGGAGGCAGCAGUGGGGAAUAUUGGACAAUGGGGGCAACCCUGAUCCAGCCAUGCCGCGUGUGUGAAGAAGGCUUUCGGGUUGUAAAGCACUUUCAGUGGGGAGGAAAUGUCGGGGAUUAAUACCCUCUGGCUUUGACGUUACCCACAGAAGAAGCACCGGCUAACUCCGUGCCAGCAGCCGCGGUAAUACGGAGGGUGCAAGCGUUAAUCGGAAUUACUGGGCGUAAAGCGCGCGUAGGCGGUUAGAUCAGUCGGGUGUGAAAGCCCCGGGCUCAACCUGGGAACUGCAUUCGAUACUGUCUGACUGGAGUAUGGGAGAGGGUAGUGGAAUUCCACGUGUAGCGGUGAAAUGCGUAGAUAUGUGGAGGAACACCUGUGGCGAAGGCGGCUACCUGGCCCAAUACUGACGCUGAGGUGCGAAAGCGUGGGUAGCGAACAGGAUUAGAUACCCUGGUAGUCCACGCCGUAAACGAUGUCAACUAGCCGUUGGGAGACUUGAUCUUUUAGUGGCGCAGCUAACGCGAUAAGUUGACCGCCUGGGGAGUACGGCCGCAAGGUUAAAACUCAAAUGAAUGACGG
rnacentral:rRNA from 1 species